rnacentral:rRNA from 1 species
AUACGUAGGGUGCGAGCGUUGUCCGGAAUUACUGGGCGUAAAGAGCUCGUAGGUGGUUUGUCGCGUCGUCUGUGAAAUUCCGGGGCUUAACUCCGGGCGUGCAGGCGAUACGGGCAUAACUUGAGUACUGUAGGGGAGACUGGAAUUCCUGGUGUAGCGGUGAAAUGCGCAGAUAUCAGGAGGAACACCGGUGGCGAAGGCGGGUCUCUGGGCAGUAACGGACGCUGAGGAGCGAAAGCAUGGGUAGCGAACAGGAUUAGAUACCCUGGUAGUCCAUGCCGUAAACGGUGGGCGCUAGGUGUAGGGGUCUUCCACGACUUCUGUGCCGUAGCUAACGCAUUAAGCGCCCCGCCUGGGGAGUACGGCCGCAAGGCUAAAACUCAAAGGAAUUGACGGG